UGAGUACGAGCUGCUACGGCAGCGAAGUGGGUGAUGUCAAGCUUCCAAGAAAAGCCCUAUACCCGUUAAGGCAUGAUGGCCUGUACCCGAAACCGACACAGGUGGGGUGGUAGAGAAUACCGAGGGGCGCGAGAUAACUCUCUCUAAGGAACUCGGCAAAAUGGCCCCGUAACUUCGGGAUAAGGGGUGCCACCGCAAGGUGGUCGCAGUGAAGAGGCCCAGGCGACUGUUUACCAAAAACACAGGUCUCCGCUAAGUCGCAAGACGAUGUAUGGGGGCUGACGCCUGCCCAGUGCCGGAAGGUUAAGGAAGCUGGUCAGCGUAAGCGAAGCUAGCGACUGAAGCCCCGGUGAACGGCGGCCGUAACUAUAACGGUCCUAAGGUAGCGAAAUUCCUUGUCGGGUAAGUUCCGACCCGCACGAAAGGCGUAACGAUCUGGGCGCUGUCUCGGAGAGAGGCUCGGCGAAAUAGAAUUGUCUGUGAAGAUGCGGACUACGUGCACCCGGACAGAAAGACCCUAUGAAGCUUUACUGUAGCUUGGUAUUGUGCCCGGGCUCUGAAUGCGCAGGAUAGGUGGGAGGCUUUGAUCCAUUGCUUGUGGGUGAUGGUGAGCCAACGGUGAGAUACCACUCUUUCAGAGCUAGGGUUCUAACGGUCACCCGUCAUCCGGGGACCGGACAGUAUCAGGUGGGCAGUUUGACUGGGGCGGUCGCCUCCUAAAUGGUAACGGAGGCGCGCAAAGGUUUGCUCAGGCUGGUUGGAAAUCAGCCGACGAGUGUAAAAGCAGAAGCAAGCUUGACUGUGAGACCUACAAGUCGAACAGGGACGAAAGUCGGCUUUAGUGAUCCGACGGUUCUGAGUGGAAGGGCCGUCGCUCAACGGAUAAAAGUUACUCUAAGGAUAACAGGCUGAUCUCCCCCAAGAGUUCACAUCGACGGGGAGGUUUGGCACCUCGAUGUCGGCUCAUCGCAACCUGGGGCUGAAGUCGGUCCCAAGGGUUGGGCUGUUCGCCCAUUAAAGCGGUACGCGAGCUGGGUUCAGAACGUCGUGAGACAGUUCGGUCCAUAUCCGGUGCAUGCGCAGGAAUAUUGAGAGGAUUUCUCCCUAGUACGAGAGGACCGGGAGGAACGCACCUCUGGUGUGCCAGUUAUCGUGCCAACGGUAAACGCUGGGUAGCCAUGUGCGGAGUGGAUAACCGCUGAAAGCAUCUAAGUGGGAAGCCCACCUCAAGAUGAGUAUUCCCAUGGCGUUAGCCAGUAAGGUCGCGGGAAGAACACCCGUUGAUAGGCUCUACGUGGAAGCCGGGUAACCGGUGAAGCGGAGGAGUACUAAUAGACC
rnacentral:rRNA from 1 species